rnacentral:rRNA from 1 species
UACAGAGGGGGCAAGCGUUGUUCGGAAUUACUGGGCGUAAAGGGCGCGUAGGCGGCCUGGCAAGUGGAAGGUGAAAUCCCUCGGCUUAACCGAGGAACUGCCCUCCAAACUGCUUGGCUUGAGUCCGGGAGAGGUGAGUGGAAUUCACAGUGUAGCGGUGAAAUGCGUAGAUAUUGGGAGGAACACCAGUGGCGAAGGCGGCUCACUGGACCGGAACUGACGCUGAGGCGCGAAAGCGUGGGGAGCAAACGGG